UACGCACGCUGGCGGCGUGCUUAACACAUGCAAGUCGAACGGAAAGGCCCUGCUUUUGUGGGGUGCUCGAGUGGCGAACGGGUGAGUAACACGUGAGUAACCUGCCCUUGACUUUGGGAUAACUUCAGGAAACUGGGGCUAAUACCGGAUAGGAGCUCCUGCUGCAUGGUGGGGGUUGGAAAGUUUCGGCGGUUGGGGAUGGACUCGCGGCUUAUCAGCUUGUUGGUGGGUAGUGGCUUACCAAGGCUUUGACGGGUAGCCGGCCUGAGAGGGUGACCGGCCACAUUGGGACUGAGAUACGGCCCAGACUCCUACGGGAGGCAGCAGUGGGGAAUAUUGCACAAUGGGCGGAAGCCUGAUGCAGCAACGCCGCGUGCGGUAUGACGGCCUUCGGUUUGUAAACCGCUUUCGCCUGUGACGAAGCGUGAGUGACGGUAAUGGGUAAAGAAGCACCGGCUAACUACGUG
rnacentral:rRNA from 1 species